rnacentral:rRNA from 1 species
UACACGCUGUGACUAGCAUAUCAAUAAGCGGAGGAAAAGAAACUAACAAGGAUUCCCCUAGUAACGGCGAGUGAAGCGGGAAGAGCUCAAAUUUGAAAUCUUAAAGGGUUUCCCUUUACGAAUUGUAGUUUAAAGAAGUGUUUUCUGUUGAGGUUUUGGUAAAAGUUCUUUGGAAUAGGACAUCAUAGAGGGUGAGAAUCCCGUAUUUGACCUUUACUUUCAACUUUGUGAUACACUUUCAAAGAGUCGGAUUGUUUGGGAAUGCAGUCCAAAAUGGGUGGUAGAUUUCAUCUAAGGCUAAAUAUUGGCGAGAGACCGAUAGCGAACAAGUACCGUGAGGGAAAGAUGAAAAGAACUUUGAAAAGAGAGUUAAACAGUACGUGAAAUUGUCAAAAGGGAAGCGUUUGACACCAGUGUUGUUUUUCUGAAAAUCAAUUAAAGAACUGUUUAUGCUAAGUUGUUUAGACUUUAUCAGCUAACUGUUUAGUUUUGAGCUUUUCUUUAAUGCACUUUUCAGGUUAACAAGUCAACAUCAAUUUCUUUUGCUGUAAAAAAGCUUGAGGAAGGUGGCUUGAGAUUCGUCUUAAGUGUUUAUAGCCUCUUGCCUAUGCAGUCGGAGAGAUUGAGGUCUGCAGCGUAGAUCCUUCGGGGCUAAAUGCAUUUGUGCUAAGUUAUAGCAUUUUAUAGACAACUUGUUGACUAUGAUUUGUCUUGUAGCUUACUCGCUUAUGUUAUUUUACCUACGCUUAGGAUGUUGAAGAUGUAGCACAUCAU